ACUGGGAUAGCUCAGUCAGCAGAGCUUGAGACUCUUAAUCUCAGGGUUGUGGGUGUGAGCCCCACGUCGGGCA